GACAGAGGGUGCAAACGUUGUUCGGAAUCACUGGGCAUAAAGCGCACGUAGGCUGUCCUGUAAGUGUGGCGUGAAAUCCCACGGCUCAACCGUGGAACUGCUUGGCAUACUGCAGGACUCGAGGACGGUAGGGGAGAGCGGAACUCCUGGUGGAGCGGUGAAAUGCGUAGAUAUCAGGAGGAACACCGGUGGCGAAGGCGGCUCUCUGGUCCGUUUCUGACGCUGAUGUGCGAAAGCCAGGGUAGCGAACGGG
rnacentral:rRNA from 1 species